rnacentral:rRNA from 1 species
GCGUAACGCGUAGGUAAUCUGCCCUGAGGUCUGACAUAACCCGUCGAAAGGCGGGCUAACAUCAGAUGAUAUAUAAUCACGACAUCGUGGAAAUAUCAAAUCUUCGGAGCCUUGGGAUGAGCCUGCGUCUGAUUAGGUAGUUGGCGGAGUAAUAGCCCACCAAGCCUACGAUCAGUAGCUGGUCUGAGAGGAUGAUCAGCCACACUGGAACUGAGACACGGUCCAGACUCCUACGGGAGGCAGCAGUAAGGAAUAUUGCUCAAUGGGGGAAACCCUGAAGCAGCAACGCCGCGUGAAGGAUGAAAUACUUUGUAUGUAAACUUCUGUAAGAUGGGAAAAAUAUUCUCCUCGGGAGAAUUGAUUGUACCAUCAGAGUAAGCCCCGGCUAACUACGUG